rnacentral:rRNA from 1 species
GGCCGCGGGAAUUCGAUUCAGGCCUAACACAUGCAAGUCGAGCGGAUGACGGGGGCUUGCUCCUUGAUUCAGCGGCGGACGGGUGAGUAAUGCCUAGGAAUCUGCCUGGUAGUGGGGGACAACGUUUCGAAAGGAACGCUAAUACCGCAUACGUCCUACGGGAGAAAGCAGGGGACCUUCGGGCCUUGCGCUAUCAGAUGAGCCUAGGUCGGAUUAGCUAGUUGGUGGGGUAAUGGCUCACCAAGGCGACGAUCCGUAACUGGUCUGAGAGGAUGAUCAGUCACACUGGAACUGAGACACGGUCCAGACUCCUACGGGAGGCAGCAGUGGGGAAUAUUGGACAAUGGGCGAAAGCCUGAUUCAGAAAGGCCGCGUGUGUGAAGAAGGUCUUCGGAU